CCGGCCAAAACUCUCCCAGAGGCGGCUCCAUCCAGCCCCCGCUGACCGGCCCUGUCUCUCCGCCCCGCGCCGCCGUUGGCUCCCGGGAGGCCGCUCCGCGGAGGCUCCCUGCCCGCUCCCUGCCCGCUCUCGGGGGACGCUCCGAACCGAGGGUGCGGCUCGGCCCGCGGAGUGUUCAGGGCGUUCUUCCCCGCCCAGUGGAGAGCGAAUAUGGAAGAAAGGAGAGAACUGGUGGCACAGAGGAGAGAUGGCCCUGCACAUGGUGGGAAUGCAGAACAAGACGUGCCUGUGUGGUGCGUUUUGAAGCCCGUGGUGCUUCUCGUGUCGCAGGCCAAGUUCCUGCAGCAGGACCAGGCUGAGCAUGUAGCACCUCGAGAUGUGCCCUUAGAGUCACCUACUGCACCACCAGGGACAGCACAAUGGCAGCAGUGGCUUUGAGUCACCAUCCUGGAGCCGUGCCCUGUCCUUUCACCCAAGGACCCUGGCCGCUGACUUUCUGUACUGCUAAAAUUGGCUCUGUGGGAAUUUUGUUGGGGCUGAGUCUCCACACUGGGCCAACCACACCCUUGACGUCCUGGGCCCCGUUGUGUGGGGGUGAGGAGGGAUGCCGAGCAGUCUUGCACAACCUGAACAGUCAUGCCGAAGCUGCUGUCUGUGUAAGCUCAUGAAGCGCUGCUUCUCUUUACUGAAACACAUGUUCCUUCUGCAGAUGGAUUUCUGUGAACUGGCACUCCAGUGCAGCACUGGGGCUGGCUGGGGGAAGGCUGAGGCUAUGAGGCUGGGGCAAGGAGACCUAUGGGGACUGUGGCUGUCACAUCGCUAAAUCAGCAAUGCCACCGUGGCAUUGUACCAGCACCUGCAGAGCCUGGACAUUGGCUUGAUGCUCUUACAUGGGAGGGCAACUGGAACCCUCCAGCACAGCAUUCUGUACUGUGACAGAGAUGCAGGUGUGUGCACAACAGGCUGGGGAAAAGAGCCUUGCUUUGGGCUCUUGCUCACUCCUUCCUUCUCCCAGAUUAUGGUUGGGUCAGUCCCAGGUGACACAUUAAGCUGUGUGGAGGGAGAGCUGCAGCAAAUGGAGGGGAAUUUGACUGGGACAUGAAGAAUUAGUUUCCAUUGAAUCCCAUUCUCAUGCAUGCAACUGUGGCAGUAACAUUUCUGUAAGGGAAAAGUGCAUUCCAGAUCCAGCACAGACACUCUGGUCACAAUCUCCAUCCCAGGCCAGGAGAAACAGGAAGAGGUAGAUGCAAGGAGACAGCAAGCUGAGCACAGAAACUCAAGUUUUUGGAAGAAUGCAGGGAAGCUUUCAGCUCUAGAAAUGAAACCCAGAGCUGCAGGGAGGUUGCACCUGUAGUGCAGUGUGGAGAGGUGGGAACAGGGCAGGGGGCUGUCAGCAUGAGGACAGCAUUCCAAUGUGCUGGGGAGGUCAAGCAGUACAUGUUCAACCUCCUGCUCUUGCCUGGCAGUCAAAGUGACUUGUGGCUUUUCCCACAGUAACCACUUGUAUUCAAGUGUUUCCAGCCUGGCUUCAACCCCAGGCAGCCGAGCAGUUUGCUGGGGUAAUGGACCUAUGUGACCCUUUGACUCUGGUGCUCAGCACAUAAAGAACAAGCCCCUGUUUCACCAGCCUCAACAUUAAACUGGGGAGUGUGGCCUCU